CCUACGGGAGGCAGCAGUGAGGAAUAUUGGUCAAUGGACGAGAGUCUGAACCAGCCAAGUAGCGUGAAGGAUGACUGCCCUAUGGGUUGUAAACUUCUUUUAUAUGGGAAUAAAAUGUUCCCCGUAUGGGAUAUUGUAUGUAACAUAUGAAUAAGGAAUGGCUAACUCCGGGCCAGCAGCCGCGGUAAUAACGAGGAUCCGAGCGUUAUCCGGAUUUAUUGGGUUUAAAGGGUGCGUAGGCAGGUUAGAAAGUCAGCGGUAAAAUCGUGAAUCUCAACCCAAUUCAGCCGUUGAAACUGAUGAUCUUGAGUGGGCGAGAAGUAUGCGGAAUGCGUGGUGUAGCGGUGAAAUGCAUAGAUAUCACGCAGAACUCCGAUUGCGAAGGCAGCAUACCGGCGCCCGACUGACGCUGAGGCACGAAAGCGUGGGUAUCGAACAGGAUUAGAUACCCUUGUAGUC
rnacentral:rRNA from 1 species